GGCGGCUUCCGGAUAUUGGGCGUAAGCGAGCGCAGGCGGUUGCUUAGGUCUGAUGUGAAAGCCUUCGGCUUAACCGAAGAAGUGCAUCGGAAACCGGGCGACUUGAGUGCAGAAGAGGACAGUGGAACUCCAUGUGUAGCGGUGGAAUGCGUAGAUAUAUGGAAGAACACCAGUGGCGAAGGCGGCUGUCUGGUCUGCAACUGACGCUGAGGCUCGAAAGCAUGGGUAGCGAACAGGAUUAGAUACCCCGGUAGUCCA
rnacentral:rRNA from 1 species